GCAGGGGCGCAGGGCAUGGCAGCGGCUGCUGAGCCAGUGCCCUCUGCCUGGGGUGACGUGGGGCUCCGGCUGGGGCAGGGCUGGGAGCCUGGAAGCAGGCUUCCCGCUGCCUCCUGCGUCCUGCUGCAGAGUGUGGCCGCAGGGAGUCGUGAAGAGCUGGAGUGCAGAGCGUUCUAUAACUACGACGCCAGAGGAGCAGAUGAGCUUUCUUUGCAGAUUGGAGACACGGUGCACAUCUUGGAGACCUAUGAAGGGUGGUACCGAGGCUACACCUUGAGGAAGAAGUCCAAGAAGGGUAUAUUUCCUGCUUCAUAUAUUCAUCUUAAAGAAGCAAUAGUUGAAGGAAAAGGGCAACAUGAGACGGUCAUCCCAGGUGACCUCCCGCUCAUUCAGGAGGUCACCACGACGCUGCGCGAGUGGUCCACCAUCUGGAGGCAGCUCUAUGUGCAAGAUAACAGGGAGAUGUUCCGCAGCGUUCGGCACAUGAUCUAUGACCUUAUUGAGUGGCGAUCACAGAUUCUUUCUGGAACUCUGCCCCAGGAUGAGCUCAAAGAACUGAAGAAGAAAGUCACCGCCAAAAUUGAUUAUGGAAACAGAAUUCUUGAUUUGGACCUGGUGGUUAGAGAUGAAGAUGGGAACAUUUUAGAUCCAGAACUAACUAGCACAAUUAGUCUCUUCCGAGCUCAUGAAAUAGCCUCUAAACAAGUGGAGGAAAGAUUACAAGAAGAAAAAUCUCAGAAGCAGAACAUGGAUAUCAACAGACAAGCUAAGUUUGCUGCCACCCCUUCUCUGGCCUUGUUUGUCAACCUCAAAAAUGUGGUUUGUAAAAUAGGAGAAGACGCUGAAGUGCUCAUGUCUCUCUACGACCCUGUGGAGUCCCAGUUCAUCAGUGAGAACUACCUGGUCCGCUGGUCAAGUUCAGGAUUACCUAAAGACAUAGACAGAUUGCACAAUCUGCGAGCCGUGUUCACUGACCUUGGAAGCAAAGACCUGAAAAGGGAGAAAAUCAGUUUCGUCUGUCAGAUCGUCCGCGUGGGUCGCAUGGAGCUGAGGGACAGCAACACAAGGAAGCUGACCUCGGGGCUGCGGCGACCUUUUGGAGUGGCGGUGAUGGAUGUAACCGAUAUAAUAAAUGGAAAAGUAGACGAUGAAGAUAAGCAGCAUUUCAUUCCCUUUCAGCCGCUCGCGUUGGACGACGCCACCCGACACAAGCCGCUCAACAUGUCAUCCCGUUUUUCACCCAGGGUGGCAGGGGAGAACGACUUCCUGCAGACUGUCAUAAACAAAGUCAUCGCUGCCAAAGAGGUCAACCACAAGGGCCAGGGUUUGUGGGUAACAUUGAAAUUACUUCCUGGAGAUGUCCAUCAGAUUCGAAAAGAGUUUCCUCAUCUGGUGGACAGAACCACAGCCGUGGCUCGCAAAACAGGGUUUCCGGAGAUAAUCAUGCCUGGCGAUGUUCGGAAUGAUAUCUAUGUGACGUUGGUUCAAGGGGAUUUUGAUAAAGGGAGCAAGACGACGGCCAAGAACGUGGAGGUGACCGUGUCCGUCUACGAUGAAGACGGGAAGCGCCUGGAGCACGUGAUUUUCCCGGGUGCUGGUGACGAGGCGAUUUCAGAGUACAAAUCUGUGAUUUACUACCAAGUGAAGCAGCCACGCUGGUUUGAGACCAUGAAGGUGGCCAUUCCCAUCGAGGACGUGAACCGCAGCCACCUCCGGUUUACCUUCCGCCACCGGUCGUCGCAGGACUCUAAGGAUAAAUCGGAGAAGAUAUUUGCACUGGCCUUCGUGAAGCUGAUGAGGUACGACGGGACCACCUUGAGAGACGGGGAACACGAUCUGAUCGUCUACAAGGCCGAGGCCAAGAAACUGGAAGAUGCGGCGACAUACUUGAGCCUGCCCUCCACGAAAGCAGAGCUGGAGGAGAAGGGCCACUCGGCCACGGGGAAGAGCAUGCAGAGUCUGGGGAGCUGCACCAUCAGCAAGGACUCCUUCCAGAUCUCCACACUGGUGUGCUCCACCAAGCUGACCCAGAAUGUGGGCCUCCUGGGCUUGCUGAAGUGGCGCUCCAACACCAGCCUGCUGCAGCAGAACCUCCGGCAGCUCAUGAAGGUGGACGGCGGUGAAGUGGUGAAGUUCCUGCAGGACACCCUGGACGCCCUCUUCAACAUCAUGAUGGAGAACUCGGAGAGUGAGACUUUCGACACGCUGGUGUUUGAUGCUCUGGUUUUUAUCAUUGGACUAAUUGCUGAUAGAAAGUUCCAGCAUUUUAACCCUGUUUUGGAGACCUACAUUAAGAAACACUUCAGCGCGACGCUGGCCUACACGAAGCUGACAAAGGUUUUGCGGAACUACGUGGACAGUGCCGAGAAGCCGGGAGUGAAUGACCAGCUGUACAAAGCCAUGAAAGCGCUGGAGUACAUCUUCAAGUUCAUCGUGCGCUCCCGGGUCCUGUUCAACCAACUCUAUGAAGACAAGGGCGAGGCCGACUUCGUGGAGUCCCUGCUGCAGCUCUUCCGCUCCAUCAACGACAUGAUGAGCAGCACGGCCGACCAGACGGUCAGGGUGAAGGGGGCGGCCCUGAAGUACCUGCCGACCAUCGUCAACGACGUGAAGCUGGUGUUCGACCCCAAGGAGCUCAGUAAAAUGUUCACCGAGUUCAUCCUCAACAUCCCCAUGGGUUUGCUGACCAUUCAGAAGCUCUACUGCUUGAUUGAGAUUGUUCACAGUGACCUCUUCACCCAGCACGACUGCAGAGAAAUCCUGCUUCCCAUGAUGACGGAUCAGCUCAAGUACCACCUGGAGAGGCAGGAGGACCUGGAGGCCUGCUGCCAGCUGCUCAGCAACAUCCUGGAGGUGCUGUACAGGAAGGACGUGGGGCCAACGCAGAGGCAUGUGCAGAUAAUCAUGGAGAAACUCCUCCGGACAGUGAACCGGACCGUGAUUUCCAUGGGGCGGGACUCGGAGCUCAUUGGGAACUUCGUGGCGUGCAUGACAGCUAUUUUACGACAAAUGGAAGAUUAUCAUUAUGCUCACCUGAUCAAGACUUUCGGGAAGAUGAGGACCGAUGUUGUGGAUUUUCUGAUGGAAACCUUCAUCAUGUUUAAGAACCUCAUUGGGAAGAACGUGUACCCCUUCGACUGGGUGAUAAUGAACAUGAUGCAGAACAAAGUCUUCCUGCGAGCGAUUAAUCAGUAUGCAGAUAUGCUGAACAAGAAAUUUCUGGACCAAGCCAACUUUGAGCUACAGCUAUGGAACAACUACUUUCACCUGGCUGUUGCUUUCCUCACCCAAGAGUCCUUGCAACUGGAGAAUUUCUCAAGUGCUAAGAGAGCCAAAAUCCUGAACAAGUAUGGAGACAUGAGGAGGCAGAUCGGCUUUGAAAUCAGAGACAUGUGGUACAACCUUGGUCAACAUAAGAUAAAGUUCAUUCCAGAAAUGGUUGGCCCAAUAUUAGAAAUGACGCUCAUUCCCGAGACGGAACUGCGCAAAGCCACCAUCCCCAUCUUCUUUGAUAUGAUGCAGUGUGAAUUCCAUUCGACUCGAAGCUUCCAAAUGUUUGAAAAUGAGAUCAUCACCAAGCUGGAUCACGAAGUGGAGGGAGGCCGCGGAGACGAGCAGUACAAAGUGCUGUUCGAUAAGAUCCUCCUGGAGCACUGCAGGAAGCACAAGUAUCUCGCCAAGACCGGGGAGACCUUCGUGAGGCUGGUGGUGCGUCUGAUGGAGAGGCUGCUGGACUACAGGACCAUCAUGCAUGACGAGAACAAGGAGAACCGCAUGAGCUGCACCGUCAAUGUGCUGAAUUUCUACAAAGAAAUUGAAAGAGAAGAAAUGUAUCUAAGGUACUUGUACAAGCUCUGUGACCUGCACAAAGAGUGUGAUAACUACACUGAAGCGGCUUACACCUUGCUGCUCCAUGCAAAGCUACUUAAGUGGUCGGAGGACGUGUGCGUGGCCCACCUGACACAGCGGGACGGCUACCAGGCCACCACGCAGGGACAGCUGAAGGAGCAGCUCUACCAAGAAAUCAUCCACUACUUCGACAAAGGCAAGAUGUGGGAGGAGGCCAUCGCCUUGGGCAAGGAACUCGCGGAGCAGUAUGAGAACGAAAUGUUUGAUUAUGAGCAGCUCAGUGAAUUGCUGAAAAAGCAGGCUCAGUUUUAUGAAAACAUCGUCAAAGUGAUCAGACCCAAGCCCGACUAUUUCGCUGUUGGCUACUAUGGACAAGGGUUCCCCACCUUCCUUCGGGGAAAAGUUUUCAUUUACCGGGGGAAAGAGUAUGAACGCAGAGAAGACUUUGAAGCCCGACUACUAACUCAGUUUCCAAACGCAGAGAAAAUGAAGACCACAUCUCCACCAGGCGACGACAUCAAAAACUCGGCUGGCCAGUACAUCCAGUGCUUCACGGUGAAGCCGAAACUCGAUCUGCCCCCUAAGUUCCACCGCCCGGUGUCCGAGCAGAUUGUAAGCUUUUACAGGGCAAACGAGGUCCAGAGAUUCGAAUAUUCCAGGCCGAUCCGGAAAGGAGAGAAAAACCCAGAUAAUGAAUUUGCGAAUAUGUGGAUCGAGAGGACCAUAUACACCACAGCCUAUAAAUUGCCUGGCAUUUUAAGGUGGUUUGAAGUCAAAUCUGUUUUCAUGAUGGAGAUCAGCCCACUGGAGAAUGCCAUUGAGACCAUGCAGCUGACGAACGACAAGAUCAGCAGCAUGGUGCAGCAGCACCUGGACGACCCCAGCCUGCCCGUCAACCCCCUGUCUAUGCUCCUGAAUGGCAUCGUGGACCCUGCUGUCAUGGGGGGCUUCACCAAUUACGAGAAGGCCUUCUUCACAGAUCGCUACCUGCAGGAGCACCCCGAGUCCCUGGCUCAGAUCGAGAAGCUCAAGGACCUGAUUGCCUGGCAGAUUCCAUUUUUGGCCGAAGGGAUCAGGAUUCAUGGAGACAAAGUCACAGAGGCACUGAGGCCGUUUCAUGAGAGAAUGGAAGCCUGUUUCAAGCAGCUGAAAGAAAAAGUGGAAAAGCAGUAUGGCGUCCGCACCAUGCCCUCAAGUCUGGACGACAGAAGAGGCAGCCGUCCCCGGUCCAUGGUGCGGUCCUUCACCAUGCCCUCCUCCUCCCGGCCCCUGUCCGUGGCGUCUGUCUCUUCGCUCUCUUCCGACAGCACCCCCUCCAGGCCGGGCUCCGACGGGUUUGCCCUGGAGCCUCUGCUGCCAAAGAAAAUGCACUCCAGGUCCCAGGACAAGCUGGACAAGGACGACCCAGAGAAGGAGAAGAAGGACAAAAAGAAGGAAAAGCGGAACAGCAAGCACCAGGAGAUAUUCGACAAGGAAUUCAGACCCACCGACAUCCCCCUGCAGCAGUCGGAGGCCGUGAUCCUCUCGGAAACGAUAAGUCCCCUGCGACCCCAGAGACCGAAGAGCCAGGUGAUUAGCAUCAUUGGAAGUGAAAGGCGCUUCUCAGUGUCCCCGACGUCACCGUCGUCCCAGCAAACACCCCCUCCAGUCACACCAAGGGCCAAGCUCAGCUUCAGUGUUCAGUCCAAUCCCGCUCUCCUAGGUCUGGAGCUGAACGGCAUGACCGGGGUGGACGUGGCUGACGUCCCGCCCCCUCUGCCCCUCAAGGGCAGCAUGGCAGACUAUGGGAAUCUGAUGGAAAACCAGGACCUGAUGGGCUCGUCGACACCUCCGCCCCCUCCUCCACACCAGAGGCAAUUAUCUUCUGCUCACUCCAACCGUUAUUGAUCGUGAGAGGGUCGGGGAACUUUCCCUUCAACUCACAAGAGCAGUGUAUUGAGGAGCUGUAUGUACUUCAGGAACUGUGUCCAAGCAGCCACCUCCAAUAGGGACCCAACUUGAGGAAAACGUUCUCCACUCAGGCCUAAUGCCGUAAGGAACGCAUUGGGACUGGCUGAGGUGAGUGUAUUUUGCAUGUGGGAGAAAUAGAAAUAACUUGUAGCCAGGAGGCAGACUAUGUGGGUGUUUUAAAAUCUACCUACCCUCUUUCAAGAUACGUGGUGCCUAAUUUAUCUCCCCUUGAAGACGGACUCAACUCGGUGGUUCCCUUUCACUGAAUAGAACAUGGCAGAAUGAGUGGGUGACUUCUAAGUCUAGGUCAUAAGGAAUCAUUGCACCGUUCCCCUUGGCCUCGCUUGCAUGACUCACUCUAGAAGUAUCUGCCAUGGCAUUAGUAUACCCAAACACCUCCAGGGAACCCCACACAGUGAAGAACCGAAUCCACUUGCCAGAGAACAAUGUUGGCCCCUGACUAUGGCCCUGAGAAUAAGCCCCCUUGUACCGAUAUACACAGUUCAGACAAGCCUCAGAUGACUCUCGCCCCAGCCUGCAUCCUAUGCAGUCUCUGGGAAAUCUCUGAGGCCACAUCACCCACUUAAGUUGCUUCUGAGUUGCUGACCCCCCAAAAUGGGGCAUAAUAAAUGUUUUCUGUUUAAAGCCAAGAAGUGUCAAGAUUACCCAUGUGAUGUGUUGUGUGAAAAACUAAUUGGGACGUUGUCCAUGGGUCUUUGGUCUGAAUUGGAUAAAACCACAUAGAGCCCUUUGGAGUCCGAUGGGCCUCGUAAAUCCAUUUGGAACAAUAGGAUUGGCUGGUUGGUUUAACCUUGGGAGUUGAUAGAUAUGAGUUUUCUCUUUGACUCACUUAGGUUUUCAGUUUCCUGGUGGGUGGAUUUUAAAAUUAUUGUGGCUUAUCUGAGCUUCUGAUUUCUUUUUGAAUUGAUUUUGGUUUAUGUAUAUUUUCCUGAAAAUACGUAUUUCAUUCAAAUUUUAAAAUCUCUCAUCAUAGAAUUCUUUAUAUCCUAACUUUGUGAUUUUAUUCUUUUCUUAUUCAUAAUGAUGUGCUUUUUGUUGCCAAUUGUUUUUCUUAGUUAGAUUUUUCAGAGGAAAAUCUUAUUAAUUUGAAUAGAAACAUUGCUUGGACCCAUCAGUGGUUUGAGCUUUUUUACGUAUGCCAAUUUCAUUAUUUUCUCUUUUUAUCUUGAUUAGUUUUGUUAUCGUGGUUUCCUCAGGUUUCUCUCUCUCUCUCAUUUCUUCAGUCUAACGAUAAGCAUAUUUUUAGCUUUUUAGAUUUAAUAAACAUAUGAGAGUCUGACUUCAUCUUAAUAAGGCUUUGGCUUUUAGAGUUUCACUGUUAUUAUACAAACAUUCUACAAUUGCUGUCUUGGUUUCCUCUUGUCUCAAACAUGUUUAUAAAGUAAAAUCCCUGGUUAAAUUUUUAUUAAUGGGCACUUGUAAUUUUAAUAUACUGAGAACAUGACCUAAGCAUUCUUUAUUUAAAAAAUUAUUUUUAGUUUUUGUACCCAAUCCACAGAUAUUUUUUAAAUAAGGCAUAUUAUCUGGAGAGUAUCAAGUUUUACUUGCACGUUUAUAUGCUACUUUAUAUAUUUUCUUAUGUGUCUGAAAAAGCAUAAACAUAUAAACUAGAAACACUGCCUGCCUAGUCCAUGGCCACCCUGUCCCUCCUGCCUUAAUAUCCCUCUUCCCUGUCCUGCCUGUCUCACAUGUCCAGGCAUCAUUCAGAGCCAAAAUCACACCUUGUCUCCUCUGCAGAGCUUUCCUUGGCUCCAAAUCAUCUGAGUCCUCGCAGUACUCGUGCUGGCGCCCAUUCCUGUGCCUGGAGUGGCCCUCCCCCUGCUGAGGCUGCCUGGGCCCCACCCUGGAGGCUAGGUCUCCCUCCUGUUUGCCUUCCCCAAGAGAGCACCAUGCUCAGCACUGAGCAGCGACCAGCGAGUGUGAAACGCUGAACGCUAAGGUCACGGAUUCCAGUGUCAGUGGGAGACACAUUUUCUUUGUGAAAUGUUUUAUUAAAAAAAAAAAAUACACAGAUUAGCUAACUUUUCAACCAGAGCGUAAAAUGGCUAUUUGUUAAAAUUCCAAUUGUAGUAGGUCCAUUAUGAUGAACCUUUUUCAACUUAGUCUUGUUGAAGUCAUUAUUCCAAUCUGCAAUCCAGGCUGAUAUUUGGAGGUGAAAAAACAUUUUCUGCGUCUCCUGGAUGACCUGGCCCUUUUGGAUAACUGACCAGGUUAACUAACAGCGUGUGCAGAGUAGAUUUAAAAUCCUUAGAAUGUUCAGUUUGCAAGUACUUACCAAGGCUUACCUAGUGGUAUCCAAUGCAGUUCCACAGAGCAUAUGCAAGAUAUUUCCCUUUUUUUUAAAGAGCAAUUUUAAGUUUCACAACAAAAUUGAGCAGAAGGUACUGAGUUUCUGUAUAACUGUUUCAACCAAAUGCAAGGCAUUUUCUAAGAAAGACUACCAUUUUCUUGAUGGUUAUAUGUAGACAAUUGUUACAUAUUGAUAUUCUGGGACUUAGGCUGAACUUUCUUCUCAUCUUGCUACUUAGUCAUUUUCAAGGAUUUUGUUUUAAAUUAUAGAAGUUCCUUUGGGUUUAUUUUCACUCACAAAGGUCCAUGCUUCAAAGAGUGGAGAGUCUGUCGACAUCUUGUCAACUCUGAAUGCCCACUGGGUCAACUCCGCCACUGCAAGAAGCAGUCAGAGACACUAUACCCAGAAAGCGUCUAAUCGUUUCUUGAAAACUUGGCUUGAGAGCUAUUGUUCUGCAAAAAAAGUCAAUGGGCAUGGAGAAUCUCCCGGUGCUCCAUUCUGUUUAUUGUAUUAUGAAGAUGACUUCUAAAUGUCCUCGCAUCAGGCUCCAUCCACAGACACAAGCGAUGGCUCUCGUGGAUCUGGAUAAGUGCAGCAGCCUCCUCCAGAGCUCUCCAGGGAGGGUGGGGGAGCUCCGGGCAGGAAUCUGCCUCGCACCCUCUCUCCACACUCUUCACCAGAAGAUGUUCCCGGAGAGGCAGAAAGAGGUUAAAAUGGUUCAUAAAUUUGUAACAAAUCUGUUGACAAUAACACGAUUCCUGUCAAACUGGAACAGUUAGGAGAUUCUGGGGGGAAAAAAUAGAAGGUACUCUUCGGUUGUUAACUGGUAGCUGAAAAAUUUCUAUUUUUUUUUUAAUCAGGCUUGGCUUAAUUUUUUCCUCCAUAAUUUAGGUAGCUAGAGCUUAAACUAUUUAAAAUAAACAUUGAAGCAAAGAUGGAAUAACCUAAUAAAAAGGUUUAUUCCCUUUAUAUUUUGAAUACCAGGUGCAAAGCUCUCUGUUAAAGCACGUUACCUUUUGGUGGCGGCUGUGGCUACACGCACCAUUAAAGACUUCCCUCGUCAGAGGGACUGCGGAUCCAAGUGUCCUUCCAAAGAGACUCCGCUGUGUUGUUGUGUCAGGAAGGUGAACUAUUCUCUGCCUCGGUUCUCUCAUCGUGGUGCUUGGCUGUUUCCCUCAUGUUUAUGGGUUUAAAGUCUCUGUCAAUCAAAGAGGCAAGACAAACACCCAGAAACGUACCCGGGCAGGGGGCACUCACACGUAUUGGGCACCUCCAAAUGCCAAGGCCCUUCCUGUCCCUUGAUAAUCAUCAUCCUGCUUAACUGUCACCAUAAAACUAGGGUUGGGGUUGCAGAGGUGACCUGGGAGGGCUGAGGGAUUUUCUCAGGUGGCUCCAAUCCUCAGUGGCAAGAAUCACUCAGGUUUCUGUGUAUCCUGGAAACUCUGGUGUUUGACUACUCGGUGUUCCUCCAUUUUCUAUGCGGCUGUGCCAUCUCAUGUAACACCCUCAUUACCCCAGUAUGCAACAGAUGAGAUGAUCAGCUGUCCCUUACUUAAGAUCCUAGUGGCUUAUUUGAAUCCAAACCCCAGGAGUUUGCUGGCCCAGAGAAGUAGAGGCUUCUGCAGCCAGAUCCCUGCUCUGCUCAGCCUUCCAGGGGAGGCAAGAGCCUCAUCCUUAACUCUGCACCACCCCUGCCCCCCGCCAUAUCCUACAAUGUGCAGAGGGACAUUCCAUUGUCACUUGGCUCUGCCACUUGCCCCUCUUCCCAACCAAACCACACCUGAUGCAAAUGCUUGCUCACCUCUCACUGUGUCAACAAAUGUUUCCUCCCUGAUGGGUGUAGAAUUCCUGUCCCUGAGGCCACUAACAAUGAAGAAGGACGGAAGAGGCCAGACACCCAAGGAAUCUUCAGGAGGCAGGUUUCUCUUUAGCUGCAGCAGUUCAGAGGGUCUUAGGCCUAAAAAAAUCUCUGGACCCGGAAUCUCGAAAUUCUCUUAGAUUUAUGCUCAGUGGGGUGGUUGGUUACAUGGCAGUGGGUGGGAACAGCUACCCUUUGUCCCAUAGUUUUAAGCCAGAUGGAGAUUUUAUGAAUUUUCUUUUCUUUUAUUUUUUUCCUGCAAUCCUGGCAUUAAAAAAAAAGAAGAAGAAGCUACAAACCACAACGCCCUCUGCAGAAGUUUCUGCCGAUGUCCUAAUGACACCCUUUGUAAAAAUCUUUCUGAGAAACUUAA